GGGCGCUUAGCUCAGUUGGCAGAGCAGCUGGCUCUUAACCAGCGGGUCACAGGUUCGAGCCCUGUAGCGCCCA
rnacentral:tRNA from 1 species